GGAUAAAUGAUGAUUCCCAGUAAAACAUUAUUUGGAAAGCUGAACAAAAUGAGUGAAUACUCAAUACCGCAACUCUCUUCGAACCUUAGGUCC